UCCCUCAAUUUUCCUUCUUCUUCCUAGGGAGAAUCGGGAGCGUAUCUCCAAUUGAGCCCUCUUCCCUCAACUACCCUCCCCUGCCAGGCUGCCACCAUUCCCGCCAUCCAAUGUCUACUCUGAUCUAGCGGCGGAGGGAGAGGAACUUGGAGCGGCAGCCGGCGGCAUAGGUCGUCGAGCUCACGUGAUUGGCGAUGGUCGGCGGUGUCGGAGGGGAAUGGGCAAAAGAGACCGGCGUGGUGCUGGCCGGAACUUCCGCAUCCGCCUCGGACGACGACAACAGCCAACCGCAGCGCCAUCGAUGGGAUGGCUACCCCGCGGCAGUGGUGCUGGCGCUCGACGUGUAGACGUCCAAGCCGGCGCCGUGCAGGAGUGGCGUAGGAGGCUGCUCUAGAGCACCCCAAUCUCCUCCCCACCUGGCCCGCUCGCUAAUCCCUGUUUCUUCCCGAGCAUGACGAAGGCGUCGAUGGGCUUCGUCCAGCGUGCGCGUGUGAUCCGGCGAGCCGCCCCCUGUUCCUUCCGCGGGUGCGUCACCGUGGACCUCCUCAGGAGCCGCACCGGCAGGGUGUUUCACCGGUGCGCCGCCCCUGACCUAGCCAGCGUGUCGCUCCCGCUCGCCGGCUCCCGAGCACGCCGUUCCGCAUCUCCAUCGAGCUAGGCUGCCGACAGGUACCUCCGUGAACGCUGGCCCCAAGUAUCCCCUGCCAUAGCGAGCUCCCCUGUCCGGCUCUCUUUGUUGUCGGCUCUCCCCUGCCCAACUCCCUGUGACCGCCGGCCGUGGCGUGGGUUGCUGCAUUGCCUCACUUGGACGGCGGCCCCCCACCACGCUGGUUGGUCUGCAGUGUGGGCUCUGGCUGCGCUGGACGACGAUUGGAUCGAUUGGAACUAUGCCGGCCCCUCCCAGCAAUCAGCAAUGAUCCUGUUCUUCACUUCGUACUAGAGUUUUACAUGGAGUAAUUUUAGAGUGAAGUAAUUUCAGAGAAUAAGGAUUGCGUGUUAUGAUGCAGUCUGCGGAACUCAAAAUUGACAUAGCGACGAAGCAGAACACGUUCCUGAUUCAGCAUACUGCAAAGACCGCUCCCAUGCCUUUGCACUGCCUACACAUGCAGUUGAUAACAGACUAUUAUUUCUGUGAUGGUUUGAUCAAGGAGUAUUUUCAAGUUGCUGCUUUGAAGGAUGAGGAGGAUAAAGCAAAGCUCCAGGAUCACUCUAUGACUAUGCUAUAUUUUCUGAUAAUGCCCUUGCAGCCUCGGUAGUUGUCAGAUGAACUACCACACAUGCCAAGGAACCAGGUGUGCAUUGCAUAUUCAAUCUUGCAAAGAGAAUGGCUGAACUGUCUGAUACAGAAUAUUCAAAUAGAUCAUCAAUUGAAUUUUCAGCAAAUACAAUCUUGUGAUUCUUAAAAAGCCAACUGGUCUUUUGUUCUUUAUGCUAUCAUAUACCUCACAUUGGUCCAGUUUCCUUUCGUUGCAUGAAAGAGAUGUAAAACAAUUCAAUACCAUGGAGAGAGUAACACCAUGCAUCUCUUCCAAAAUAUUUCAAGCAUAAUUUGUGGAUGACAGAAUACACCAGACUCAACAAUUUGCUGGUAGCACCAUGCCCAUCUCAAGCUUACCAGGUAAACUUCGAAAAUGCCGUGACACAAAAGUGUAUAACUAAUCGGCUUUCAAUUAAUCGAAGCAGUAGGUUUAUCUGGGAGUUUUACAUCUAUGUGGUUUUGGAUUGGUCAAAUGAAUGAGAACCUGCCUAAAUCUUUCUCAAUUAAUUUGGAUCGGAGGGAGUAUUAUUUUGCUAGGUUAUUGUUACCCAUGAGCAUUUACCUUCCAAAAGUUAUGCCUUUCUUAUGUUAUCCAGAUUUAAUUCAUUGUUGAUAUAUGAAAAGAACACCCUCACAAUUUCAAGGCUUGAUUAUUUGGAAUCAUAUGUAUUGUUCAGCUCUUCUUAUAGGAUGUCCAAAUAAAUGGACAUCAUUUACCAGCUUAGUGGCCAUUCGUUUUCAAACUUGAGAAUUGAGAUACAGUCAUCGCCACUUAUUUAAAAUAUACUUUUCAAAGGAGGAACUCCCUUUUUUUUGCCAAUUGUUCAGUCUGGUAUAUUUUGUCAACUCUUCAUCAACCAUUUAGUGACAUAUUGUUUAACACGUGUCAUUUCAUUCUGCAAUUCGAUCGAAGAGUGCCUCGGAUUAAGCUUGACAAGGUGUUUUCACAGUAGUUUCUUUCAUUAGUUCAAUGUCUCCGCCACAGGGGUACCCCAUAGAUGAAGGUUCAGGAAUUGUGUCACCUUAGUUCUCUAACAGUGCAUUCUCGCAGCCUCUGAAGGACUUAUCUAGGAGGCUUUGUUUCGAGGGGGUAUGAUAGUCAGCCUAAAGUGAAAAAGGAUUAGAAGUACAUCAGUCAGCCUUGAAAAUACAAAGCUUUCUUCUAAGUUGAUAAGCUUGCAAGUUUAGCCCUGAGAUGUUGUAUGUAUCUCCUUUUAUCAUUAUCUUCCAGUUUGUAUUACAUGUGACAUGAAUUAUCUACACAGAAUAUGGAUUAUGAUAUGAAUUUUCUUAGAGGGGUUUAUACAUAGACUUGCAGGUUAUUGCUUCGCCAUUGUAUUCCUUUGAUGUAUAUAUCAUUGAGUUUUUAA